rnacentral:rRNA from 1 species
AACGAACGCUGGCGGCAUGCCUAACACAUGCAAGUCGAACGAGACCUUCGGGUCUAGUUGCGCACGGGUGCGUAACGCGUGGGAACCUGCCCUUAGGUUCGGAAUAACUCCCCGAAAUGGGUGCUAAUACCGGGUAAUGUCUUCUGACCAAAGAUUUAUCGCCUUUGGAUGGGCCCGCGUUGUAUUAGCUAGUUGGUAGUGUAAAAGCCUACCAAGGCGACGAUCCAUAGCUGGUCUGAGAGGAUGAUCAGCCACACUGGGACUGAGACACGGCCCAGAAUCCUACGGGAGGCAGCAGUGGGGAAUAUUGGAAAAUGGGCGAAAGCAUGAUGCAGCAAUGCCGCGUGAGUGAUGAAGGCCUUAGGGUUGUAAAGCUCUUUUACACGGGAUGAUAAUGACAGUACCGGGAGAAUAAGCACCGGCUAACUCCGUG